rnacentral:rRNA from 1 species
GCGAACGGGUGAGUAACACGUGGGCAAUCUGCCCUUCACUCUGGGACANNCNNUGGAAACGGGGUCUAAUACCGGAUAAUACCUGCCUGGGCAUCUGGGUGGGUUGAAAGCUCCGGCGGUGAAGGAUGAGCCCGCGGCCUAUCAGCUUGUUGGUGAGGUAGUGGCUCACCAAGGCGACGACGGGUAGCCGGCCUGAGAGGGCGACCGGCCACACUGGGACUGAGACACGGCCCAGACUCCUACGGGAGGCAGCAGUGGGGAAUAUUGCACAAUGGGCGAAAGCCUGAUGCAGCGACGCCGCGUGAGGGAUGACGGCCUUCGGGUUGUAAACCUCUUUCAGCAGGGAAGAAGCGAAAGUGACGGUACCUGCAGAAGAAGCGCCGGCUAACUACGUGCCNGCAGCCGCGGUAAUACGUAGGGCGCAAGCGUUGUCCGGAAUUAUUGGGCGUAAAGAGCUCGUAGGCGGCUUGUCACGUCGGGUGUGAAAGCCCGGGGCUUAACCCCGGGUCUGCAUUCGAUACGGGCUAGCUAGAGUGUGGUAGGGGAGAUCGGAAUUCCUGGUGUAGCGGUGAAAUGCGCAGAUAUCAGGAGGAACACCGGUGGCGAAGGCGGAUCUCUGGGNCAUUACUGACGCUGAGGAGCGAAAGCGUGGGGAGCGAACAGGAUUAGAUACCCUGGUAGUCCACGCCGUAAACGGUGGGAACUAGGUGUUGGCGACAUUCCACGUCGUCGGUGCCGCAGCUAACGCAUUAAGUUCCCCCGCCUGGGGAGUACGGCCGCAAGGNUNAAACUCAAAGGAAUUGACGGGGGGCCCGCACAAGCNGNGNAGCAUGUGGGCUUAUUUCGACGCAACGCGAANAACCUUACCAAGGCUUGACAUA